AUACCCCAAUGAUGUCAGCACUGGGCUCCGAUCACUGUGAUGAUUUUGGUGCCUUCUGGGGACUUGACACUCCAGGAGACUGAGGGGUUC
ensembl:snoRNA